UACGUAGGUCCCGAGCGUUGUCCGGAUUUAUUGGGCGUAAAGCGAGCGCAGGUGGUUUAUUAAGUCUGGUGUAAAAGGCAGUGGCUCAACCAUUGUAUGCAUUGGAAACUGGUAGACUUGAGUGCAGGAGAGGAGAGUGGAAUUCCAUGUGUAGCGGUGAAAUGCGUAGAUAUAUGGAGGAACACCGGUGGCGAAAGCGGCUCUCUGGCCUAUAACUGACGCUGAGGCUCGAAAGCGUGGGGAGCAAACAGG
rnacentral:rRNA from 1 species